CGAUAGAUAAUACGUAUUCACCUGUCUGAAUAUUCGUGGUUCUAGCAAGGAAUUUUUCCCAGAAAUUCAGAAAUAAUGGUUUUCUCAAAUGGGGCUCCCAAAAAACACGGUCCAGGACAUAUAAGAGCCAUAAUACAGCGAAUGUCUAAAUAAAACUAGAUGUAAAGAUUGAAACAAUCGUUUGUAUAUAACGAAACACGAGUUGCGUAUUUUGUAGAACUGUUUAGCGGAAAUCUCACAAUAAAGUGUUUCUUGAAUAUGAAACAGAAUCAAUUAUAAAAAUUCAUUUCGAAGAAGGGCAAGUAGAUUACUUUUAUUAGAAAAUGUGUCCAUGUUUGAAUGUGUUUGUUGAAGUCUAUGUGUUCAGGUUCUAGUAUUUUUGUAACAAUAGUUUAGAUACAAAAAAAUUCCACCAAAAUAAUGUAAAAACUGAAAAAAGGUUCAAUUCCUGAUGGUGAAUCUUGAGUACUAGAAGUAAACUCUUUUUUAAUGUUAGGGAGAGUUAGGACGUAAAAUAUUUUUCUUAAGAAACCAUUUGGUUACUGCCUAAAUUUAGUUUAGUUUUUAUUUCCAAGUAUAAUUAAAAUAUUUCCAACGUUUCAGAUACUUUUGGGGGAGCUGUCAAUGCCCUCAAAUAUCAAUUUUAAUUCCGUGUUAGGAAUCACACGUUAAAAGGUUGAGCACUUCUUAUUUCCAAAUGGUGGUGUCUUCAUGUAUUUGAAAAAGCAUUCCUGAUGGAAAAGAUGGCCACAAUAGACUCUCU